rnacentral:rRNA from 1 species
CGGUGUUUAACUGGCGUGAUGUGGGACGUCCUACCGGUGGGCUUAGCCUCGCGAGGGGCGGCCCAACUAAUAUCCCGUCGCGGUGCUCUUUACUGAGUGUCGAGUCGGGCCGAUACGUUUACUUUGAACAAAUUAGAGUGCUUAAAGCAGGCUAUCCUCGCCUGAAUACUGCGUGCAUGGAAUAAUGGAAUAGGACCUCGGUUCUAUUUUGUUGGUUUUCGGAACCCCGAGGUAAUGAUUAAUAGGGACAGAUGGGGGCAUUCGUAUUGCGACGUUAGAGGUGAAAUUCUUGGAUCGUCGCAAGACGGACAGAAGCGAAAGCAUUUGCCAAAAAUGUUUUCAUUAAUCAAGAACGAAAGUUAGAGGUUCGAAGGCGAUCAGAUACCGCCCUAGUUCUAACCAUAAACGAUGCCAGCUAGCGAUCCGCCGAAGUUCCUCCGAUGACUCGGCGGGCAGCUUCCGGGAAACCAAAGCUUUUGGGUUCCGGGGGAAGUAUGGUUGCAAAGCUGAAACUUAAAGGAAUUGACGGAAGGGCACCACCAGGAGUGGAGCCUGCGGCUUAAUUUGACUCAACACGGGAAACCUCACCAGGCCCAGACACCGGAAGGAUUGACAGAUUGAUAGCUCUUUCUUGAUUCGGUGGGUGGUGGUGCAUGGCCGUUCUUAGUUGGUGGAGCGAUUUGUCUGGUUAAUUCCGAUAACGAACGAGACUCUAGCCUGCUAAAUAGGCGUACCUUAUGGUAUCGCGAAGGCCCCCGGCUUCGGCCGGUGGGUUUUUACUACCAACGUACAAACAAAUCUUCUUAGAGGGACAGGCGG